AUGGGUGACAGGUGACGGGUGACAGGUGAUGGGUGACAGGUGACGGGUGAUGGGUGACAGGUGAUGGGUGACAGGUGAUGGGUGACAGGUGACGGGUGAUGGGUGACAGGUGACAGGUGACAGGUGAUGAGUGACGGGUGACAGGUGACGGGUGACACUGGGGACAGUGCCACUGAAUGAGGGACAUGGGGGGUGUGGGUGACAGCCAGGUGUCCCCAGGUGUGUCUCCUGUACCCCCAGGUGUGUUUUUGCUGUCCCCAGGUGUCCCCAGGUGUCCCCAGGUGUAUCUCAGGUGUGUCCCCAGGUGUCCCCAGGUGUAUCUCAGGUGUGUCCCAGGUGUCCCCAGGUGCCUGCGAUGGCGCGGGGGCAGCUCCAGUGCCGGAACCUCCAGGAUUUCCUGCGGGGGCUCAGCCCCAACACCCUGGAUCGGCUGUACGGACACCCGGCCACGUGCCUGGCCGUGUUCAGGUGAAAUUAACGCUAAUUAACGCUAAUUAACACUAAUUAACAACACUAAUUAACACCCGGCCACCUGUCUGGCUGUUUUCAGGUGAGAUUAACGCUAAUUAACGCUAAUUAACAACACUAAUUAACACCCGGCCACCUGUCUGGCUGUUUUCAGGUGAAAUUAACGCUAAUUAACGCUAAUUAAUGGUAAUUACUAACCCAAAUCGACACCCGGCCACGUGUCUGGCCGUGUUCAGGUGAAAUUAACGCUAAUUAACGCUAAUUAACGCUAAUUACUAACCCAAAUCGACACCCGGCCACCUGUCUGGCUGUCUUCAGGUGAGAUUAACGCUAAUUAACGCUAAUUAACGCUAAUUAACAACACUAAUGAACACCCGGCCACCUGUCUGGCUGUGUUCAGGUGAAAUUAACGCUAAUUAACGAUAAUUAACAACGCUAAUUAACCCCAAUCGACACCCGGCCACGUGUCUGGCUGUGUUCAGGUGAAAUUAACGCUAAUUAACGCUAAUUAACGGUAAUUAUUAACACUAAUGAACACCCGGCCACGUGUCUGGCUGUGUUCAGGUGAAAUUAACGCUAAUUAAUGCUAAUUAACACUAAUUAACACUAAUUACCAACCCCAAUCGACACCCGGCCACGUGCCUGGCCGUGUUCAGGUGAAAUUAACGCUAAUUAACGCUAAUUAACGGUAAUUAACAACACUAAUUAACACCCCACCACCUGUCUGGCUGUGUUCAGGUGAAAUUAACGCUAAUUAACGCUAAUUAACACUGAUUAUUAACACUAAUGAACACCCGGCCACCUGUCUGGCCGUCUUCAGGUGAAAUUAAUGCUAAUUAACAUUAAUUAACACUAAUUAUUAACUCCAAUCAACACCCCACCACCUGUCUGGCCAUUUUCAGGUGAAAUAAAUGCUAAUUAACGCUAAUUAACA
rnacentral:lncRNA from 1 species